GAGCCUCUUCAUUGCCUACUGCAAAACAACUUUUUGCACCAGUUCGUCACUGAUGGCUUAUCAACGCGGCGGCAUCCUCAUCAUGGCACAGGUUCAUCAGAGUCAGGUGGUCAGCACCCAAACUAAAACCAUGGGUCAUGGUGAAGAAGGAUGAGAGACUGUUCUAUGUGCCCAGGGUUCGUCAGGAUGGUGUCUAAGAAUUACAUCCUAGCAGCACAGAACAGGAAGCCAUCGUGAAGAAGUUGCCGGAGAGGCUUCGCUUGGCCUUUGCCAGCGCCUCACUAUCAGUGAUGCUGGUCUCCUUAUCCACCGUGCCUACCCCCACAUUCCUCCCUUGAUGCAUUCAUCUCCUGACCUGUACCUGUUGUGGGCUGAGUCAGUGAUGAC